CCUACGGGAGGCAGCAGUGAGGAAUAUUGGUCAAUGGACGCAAGUCUGAACCAGCCAAGCCGCGUGCAGGAAGACGGCCCUAUGAGUUGUAAACUGCUUUUGUACGAGGGUAAACGCAGAUACGUGUACCUUUCUGCAUGUACCCUACGAAUAAGGAUCGGCUAACUCCGUGCCAGCAGCCGCGGUAAUACGGAGGAUCCAAGCGUUAUCCGGAUUUAUUGGGUUUAAAGGGUGCGUAGGUGGGCGGAUAAGUUAGCGGUGAAAUCCCGCGGCGCAACUUCGGAAUUGCCUUUGAUACUGUUAGGCUAGAGGGUAGUUGAGGUAGGCGGAAUGUGUGGUGUAGCGGUGAAAUGCUUAGAGAUCAUGCAGAACACCGAUUGCGAAGGCAGCUUAC
rnacentral:rRNA from 1 species